rnacentral:rRNA from 1 species
UACGAAGGGGGCUAGCGUUGCUCGGAAUCACUGGGCGUAAAGCGCACGUAGGCGGACUUUUAAGUCAGGGGUGAAAUCCUGGAGCUCAACUCCAGAACUGCCUUUGAUACUGGAAGUCUUGAGUCCGGAAGAGGUAAGUGGAACUGCGAGUGUAGAGGUGAAAUUCGUAGAUAUUCGCAAGAACACCAGUGGCGAAGGCGGCUUACUGGUCCGGUACUGACGCUGAGGUGCGAAAGCGUGGGGAGCGAACAGG